UGGCAACCACCCCCACCCCACAGGUAUAUCACCCCCCUCCAUGGGCCUCAUUAACAUAACAAAAGACACCUUUUAUGGCUCUCUUCACUUAGGAUACUCCUAGAGAUUUAGGAGCUCUGUGCCAGAAAUGGGGUUAAAGACCAAAUACCUAUUUUUAUUAUAAAUCAUGGUAUCAUAGCCCUUAACCCUGACGCGUUGAGUUGAACCCAUAACCCAUGCAUGGAGGACUUCACUUGCUCAGGAGGAGCUCCCCGCCACAGCUGCAGAACCUGCACCCCAGCCUGGCCCCGGGACGCAGGAGAUGGAUGAGCCGCGACGAGGCUGGGCACCCACACAGCAUUCCGUGGUCACUUGGCGCAGCCUCCUCAAAGAGCAGAUGGAAAAGUCUGAGGACACUCAAUUCUCCAAAUUCCUUUUCUGAGAGCUCUGCCCCGGCUCAGCCUCAACAAGUUAGAGUCUUUUCAAAUGAGUUGAAACCCAGUUUCUUUCCACCUACAUCUACAUCAGUUGUCUUUACUUCAGGUCACGGGAGGGGGUAGCUUAGAGACCCACGGACCGCUGGGUAGGCCGUCUGACUGUCUUCACUGGUGGGGUUCCUGCUGCAGAGUGGGAGAGCCCAGGGUCAUAGCUUCCCUGUUUGUAGGAUUUACCUUGAGUGAGCUCGGCCUACGGGGGCCUCAGUGCCACCCAGGGUCUGGAGUCCUUGCCAGGACGAGGAGCCUGGCUAGUAGCCACAGACCUGGCUUUCAAUCCUGGCAUCCAGCUGCCUGGGACAAUGCUGAAGCAGAGAUGCAGAGAUGUAGACAGAAGGAGAAGCAGGCUCCCUGCGGGGAGCCCGAUGUGGGACUCGAUCCCAGGACCCCGGGGUCAUGCCCUGAGCCAAAGGCUCAACCACUGAGCCACCCAGGCAUCCCUCCACGGCUCCCCUUUGCCAUAGGAAUGCCACCGAGACAGGACCUGGAGUACAGCCGUCAAAGAGCCUACGUGAUGGCCAUCCUGAAAUAUUUGAUUCAAUUAAAUAAAAAUUUACUGCACACACA
rnacentral:lncRNA from 1 species